UACGAAGGGGCAAGCGGUUGUUCGGAAUUACUGGGCGUAAAGGGCGCGUAGGCGGCCGAUCAAGUCAGGCGUGAAAGCCCCGGGCCUCAACCUGGGAAUGGGCAGUGGAUACUGGCGAGCUAGAGUGUGAUAGAGGAUGGUGGAAUUCCCGGUGUAGCGGUGAAAUGCGUAGAGAUCGGGAGGAACAUCAGUGGCGAAGGCGGCCAUCUGGAUCAACACUGACGCUGAGGCACGAAAGCGUGGGGAGCAAACAGG
rnacentral:rRNA from 1 species